rnacentral:rRNA from 1 species
GGGAAAAGGAUUUAUUCGCUUCAGGAUGGACUCGCGUCCAAUUAGCUAGUUGGUGAGGUAACGGCCCACCAAGGCGACGAUUGGUAGCCGGACUGAGAGGUUGAACGGCCACAUUGGGACUGAGACACGGCCCAGACUCCUACGGGAGGCAGCAGUGGGGGAUAUUGCACAAUGGGGGAAACCCUGAUGCAGCGACGCCGCGUGGAGGAAGAAGGUUUUCGGAUUGUAAACUCCUGUCGUUAGGGACGAUAAUGACGGUACCUAACAAGAAAGCACCGGCUAACUACGUGCCAGCAGCCGCGGUAAAACGUAGGGUGCAAGCGUUGUCCGGAAUUACUGGGUGUAAAGGGAGCGCAGGCGGACCGGCAAGUUGGAAGUGAAAACUAUGGGCUCAACCCAUAAAUUGCUUUCAAAACUGCUGGCCUUGAGUAGUGCAGAGGUAGGUGGAAUUCCCGGUGUAGCGGUGGAAUGCGUAGAUAUCGGGAGGAACACCAGUGGCGAAGGCGACCUACUGGGCACCAACUGACGCUGAGGCUCGAAAGCAUGGGUAGCAAACAGGAUUAGAUACCCUGGUAGUCCAUGCCGUAAACGAUGAUUACUAGGUGUUGGAGGAUUGACCCCUUCAGUG